rnacentral:rRNA from 1 species
UACGUAGGGCGCAAGCGUUGUCCGGAAUUAUUGGGCGUAAAGAGCUCGUAGGCGGCUUGUCACGUCGGUUGUGAAAGCCCGGGGCUUAACCCCGGGUCUGCAGUCGAUACGGGCAGGCUAGAGUUCGGUAGGGGAGAUCGGAAUUCCUGGUGUAGCGGUGAAAUGCGCAGAUAUCAGGAGGAACACCGGUGGCGAAGGCGGAUCUCUGGGCCGAUACUGACGCUGAGGAGCGAAAGCGUGGGGAGCGAAC